rnacentral:rRNA from 1 species
UACGGAGGGUGCAAGCGUUACUCGGAAUCACUGGGCGUAAAGGGCGCGUAGGCGGCCUAGCAAGUCUGGUGUGAAAGCCCAGGGCUCAACCCUGGAAGGGCACUGGAAACUGUUAGGCUUGAGUUCCGGAGAGGAGGGGGGAAUUCCCGGUGUAGCGGUGAAAUGCGUAGAUAUCGGGAGGAAUACCGGUGGCGAAGGCGCCCCUCUGGACGGAAACUGACACUGAGGCGCGAAAGCGAGGGGAGCGAACGGG